rnacentral:rRNA from 1 species
UACGAAGGGGGCUAGCGUUGCUCGGAAUUACUGGGCGUAAAGCGCACGUAGGCGGAUUGUUAAGUCAGGGGUGAAAUCCUGGAGCUCAACUCCAGAACUGCCUUUGAUACUGGCAAUCUUGAGUCCGGAAGAGGUGAGUGGAACUCCUAGUGUAGAGGUGGAAUUCGUAGAUAUUAGGAAGAACACCAGUGGCGAAGGUGGCUCACUGGUCCGGUACUGACGCUGAGGUGCGAAAGCGUGGGGAGCAAACAGG